rnacentral:rRNA from 1 species
CCGCAUAAAUUCCCACCUAACCGGAGCAAUUUCCCCUUGGAAGGUGGGCCCAACUAAGGAUUGGUGUGUUGUGGUGCUACCACUUUAACACCAUUAAUAAAGUUUUCUGGGUAGUUGACCACUUCGGGUGUGAACCUUAUAACUAAAGACUUGGUGGUUAAUAACAACAACCUAGGGAGAAUGUCUAAUAAGGGAUGGUAUGGAUUAACCGGGAUUUUAUUAGUGUCCAGCCUAUAUACAGCCGUCGCCAGCUUACCUUAUGAAAGAAACGCAGUAAGCCAAAUAGUCCCAAUAGUGAGAUAAUAGGUCGAGGUGUAACUAAGUGUAGGGACAAAAAUGGGCUACAUUAUCUAGAAAAGAUAUACGAAUAAACUAUGAAACAAGAAACUGAAGGCGGAUUAUAGCAGUACACUGCUAUAAGAAGCCUACUACUUGCUGUAACAUAAUGCAAUGGUGUGCGUCCUCAUCGCACAACAUAGCCCUGUAAAGUCCCCCCCACCAUCCAUAAUAAUAACCUAACUACUCAAAGCAGGGCAAGUCGUAUCACGUUGAGCCUAUUGUAAGGUGUGCUUGCGACCGAGAUGUAUAGGCUUACACAAAGUAUUCGAGCUCCAAUUGAACGACAUUAUCGCUUAUCCUUUGGGGCCGUCUAGUAUGAUGUGGAAUACUAUUAAGUCAUCAAAACUUUAAGUUUUCACUAACCAAGUAGUAGGCGAUCGAACAGUGACCCAACCACACGUUACCGCAAGGGACCAAACAUUAAAGCGAAAAACAGCAGGUUGAGAU